rnacentral:rRNA from 1 species
UUGACCUCGGAUCAGGUAGGGAUCC